UACGUAGGGGGCAAGCGUUGUUCGGAAUUACUGGGCGUAAAGGGCGCGUAGGCGGCACGGCAAGUCAGGAGUGAAAGGCCUGGGCUCAACCGAGGAACUGCUUUUGAGACUGCCGAGCUAGAGUGCAGGAGGGGCAACUGGAAUUCCCAGUGUAGCGGUGAAAUGCGUAGAUAUUGGGAGGAACACCGGUGGCGAAGGCGGUUCUCUGGGCCUUACCUGACGCUGAGGAGCGAAAGCGUGGGGAGCGAACAGG
rnacentral:rRNA from 1 species